UACGUAGGGUCCUAGCGUUGUCCGGAAUUAUUGGGCGUAAAGAGCUCGUAGGCGGUUUGUCGCGUCUGCUGUGAAAACCCGAGGCUCAACCUCGGGCCUGCAGUGGGUACGGGCAGACUAGAGUGCGGUAGGGGAGAUUGGAAUUCCGGGUGUAGUGGUGAAAUGCGUAGAGAUCCGGAGGAACACCAGUGGCGAAGGCGACACGCUGGGCCGUACCUGACACUGAUGCGCGACAGCAUGGGGAGCAAACAGG
rnacentral:rRNA from 1 species